rnacentral:lncRNA from 1 species
GCAUGAGCCCCAUGUACAGCUCGAGCCCAAAGUGUGAGGCAAGACUUUGGAGGAGGGAUGACCAGCAGCAGUUUCUGGGACCCCUGAUGCUCUUUAGGCCGAGGGGCCUGCACUGGAAUGGAGUCCACUGAAGGGGUGGUUGUUUUUCACCUCAGGGGAAUCAGAGUGUGCAAUGUGGGAAAGUGUGUGGCAGAGUACAUGGUGCUGAACUAGGGUGUGUGUGGUAACAUUUUAUUAAGCAUAGAUCUGUAUCUGAUGUAUUUCUGUACUGCUAAUUUGGAGAUUUUACUUGAAAUGAUAAUAGCAUCAUGACUUAAUUGCAUUUUUUUUCUUUUUUCUUUUCUUUUUUUUUUUUUUUUUUUUNUUUAUUUUAUUUACUUUUUCCUCUUUUUAGGGCUAUACUCAUGGCAUAUGGAGGUUCCCAGGCUAGGGGUCAAAUUAGAGCUGUAGCCACUGGCCUACGCCAGAGCCACAGCAACACAGGAUCUGAGCCGCUUCUGCAACCUAUACCAUAGGUCAUGGCAACGCUGAUCCUUAACCCACUGAGCAAGGCCAGGGUUCGAACCCCCAACAUCAUGGUUCUUAGUCAGAUUCGUUAACCACUGAACCACGAUGGGAACUCCUUGGCUUAAGGGAAGUUUAAUACAUCCAGGCUUCUGCUGGAGGCCCCAUAGCUCCUUCUUUUUCCUUUGAAACCAAAGUCUUACAUGAAUUAUUUUCCUAUUUACUCUAAGCAGGGUUCUCCAACCUUGGCACUAUUGACAUUUUGGGGUGGAUAAUCUUUGUUGUGGAGGCUGUCCUGUGUGUCGUAGGAUGUUUAUCAUUUUUCUUGGCUACUAGGAUACCAGGAGCAACCUCCAGUUCUGACAACCAAAAAUGUCUCCAUGCACAGGCCUUUCAGUUCACACUUCGCAUUUAACUGAGAGCUGCCACCCACCAGAGAGGGAACCAGGGUCAUUCAGACAGAGAAGGUUUCUGUUCUCACAGAGUCUACACAGGGGUUGGGGAGAAGGUGGGGGAGGGGUAGAGGGAAGGUGGAAAUGAACACAGUAAAGAUAUCAGCCACCUAACCUAUCAGGUUUGAUGAGCAUGAUUCUUCUGUAGAUUAGCCCUCAUGGAGAUUCGGACACUAAUGCGACUUGUGGAGAGAAUUUAGCUUACAUGUUCUGUGAGCAUUUAGAAAACUGAAUGACAAACAAAAUGAACCGUAAGUCCCCUCCCCAUCCUUUUACAGAAGACAUAGUUAUUUAAUGAUCUCACAACCUGAUCAGAGAUGCUCUUAUGCAUCUUGAAUACAAAACUCAGGUGGGAGUCUCUUGAAUUCUUGAAGAAACAAAGCUCAAAUAUAUGAGAAUAUAAAUCACAAAAAUCUUGAAACAUUUCCUGUAAUAGUUUAUUUGUAAACCAAGUAAGCCUGUCUGUCUCUAAUUCUUCCCCUCCCUUUCUCUCUAAACCAGUCUAUCUUUUCACCUGGCUGCUCCACUGGAACCUUUUCUUUUUUUUUUUUCUUUUUGGUCUUUUUAGGGCGACACCCAUGGAAUAUGGAGGUUCCCAGGCCAGGGGUUGAAUUGGAGUUGUAGCCUUCAGCCUGCACCACAGCCACAGCAACGCCAGAUCUGAGCCACAUCUGCAACCUACACCACAGCUCACGGCAAUGCCAGAUCCUUACCUGCUGAGCAAGGCCAGAGAUCAGACUCCCGUCCUCAUAGAUACUAGUCAGCCGUCCUCAUAGAUACUAGUCAGAUUCUUAACUUGCUGAGCCGCAAUGGGAAAUCCCCUAAGAGUUUUUAAGAUGGGCAUACACAUUCCCUGGUGGUUCAGCGUCUUAAGUACCCAGCAUUGCCAAAGCCUCAUGUAUUUAACUAUAUAAAAACUAACAUUUCCCCUUGGGAAAGACUCUUUUAACAUGAACAAGACAAGAUUAUAGGACAAAAAAA